rnacentral:rRNA from 1 species
GACAGAGGGUGCAAACGUUGUUCGGAAUUACUGGGCGUAAAGCGCGUGUAGGCGGCUAUGUAAGUCGGGCGUGAAAUCCCACGGCUCAACCGUGGAAGUGCACCCGAAACUGCGUAGCUAGAGUCCUGGAGAGGAAGGUGGAAUGCUUGGUGUAGAGGUGAAAUUCGUAGAUAUCAAGCGGAACACCGGUGGCGAAGGCGGCCUUGA